UGGGGGUUGGUUUGAGCAUCAUAUUAUAGAAAGAACAAGUAUAAUUCCAGGUUUUUCCUCUUUUAGGACACAACGAUUACUUUCUCUGAGUAAAACAAAAGGAAAUUUAGAAUAUGGCGUUCUGAAAUCCGAGUCUUACAUUUCCUAAUUGCUUUCAAACAAAAUUGGUAGAGGUUUAGCUUUUGCAGUUGACAUGUUUAUUCCCUUUUCAAAAGUCGUUCCCAAAUCCAUGCCGCUGAAGGGGUAACCAACAUGAUUGGGUCUUUUCUCACCAAUAGGACUUGUAAUGGUAUUUGGGUUUUGCUUAUCCUGCUUAUGAGUGCUUCAAAACCGUUGGGAAAGUCUGUGAAUUUUGAGUGGGUGGUCCGUGAAUGCUAUAAUUGAUUAGUUUAAAGGCCAAGGAGGGUCUAAUUUGCCAGCUCUAGCUGUGGUACAAGCCGGCCUCUAUCAACCCAAAGGCAAAAAUGAUGGCUCUGGAUGCUCCGUCAUUUUCGAUCUUUCAUUACUGCAUAUUAAAUAAAAAGGAUACAUGUGAUGGUAAUAGAUGAUAUGAUUUGGUACGAAAGGAGACAAACAUCAACAAAAGAAACAGCCACACGAAGAAACUAGAAAAUGUGCUUGAAGAGUGGUUCACCAGAAUUGUAGUUGAGAUCAUCAGACGCUCGUCAAAGCUGUUGGCUGACCAGUCCUGCAAUGCCGCUUACCAGUUCUGCAACUGAGAAGUUCUGCUUUCCACUCUAGGGUGGUAUUCUGUAUGCAUGUGUUUAGUUGCUUUCUCUGAACCAGGUUGAUCAAGCCAUUCAGUAUAUAAUCCUUUAAUGAUGGGAUUUUCAAAAGGGUCAGCCUCGAUAACCUAACCAAAAAAAAAAAA